ACUUUUGAAGGGGCUUACCAUUUAAUUUUUUUUAAAUUUGUCUUCCAUCUGUGUUUUUUAGUGAAUUUAUCCAUACACCAAGUCUGUGAAUUCUCUAUGCAAUCGGUUGUAUACAAAUUGCGACCGAAAAUAAAAAAAGAGCUGAUACUGCCGAUGGGAGCAGCCACUAUUGUAGGUGAGAAGCUGAGAAGAUAGGAUUCCUAGGGUUAUUUCAUUUAUAUCAUUAAGCAACGAUAAACCAUUUCUGACGAAAAACUAUUCCUAGAGUAAUCGGCAAUACAUAAUUUGAAGUACCGUAUUUUUUAUUUUGUGAUUUUCGUUUACAUUUAAUUUCAAAACAUUUAUUAAAAAAAAAAAAAGUUAUCUAAUGAUUUUGAAAAUUUUACCAGAUUUCUUUUUAGAAAAAGUGCUAUCAUUUUAAAUUGGAGCAAAAUUGCUGGAAGAAAAGUCUUCAGAAAAAAAAAAACGUAAUAUUUUACUAAUGUAUGUUAUACAUUUUCCGUUUUUUCUCAGUUUUCACGAUAAUUAAUAGGUAUUUUGCUACAACAAACAUACUAUAAUGAUGACAAUAUUUAGUUAUUUAACAUAACAUAUAAUAUCAAAACUUCAAAAAGCUAUAAUUUCGAAACUUAGUCAAUUCGAUCAAAUCUGACUUCACCAUCGUUCUCAAAUUGUCAAUACACAUGUUCAAAAAUUAAAAAAUUAGAUUUGUUCCACAUAAAUUUUACUCGACGAUUUUCAUCAAAACUUGAUAUUAAAAUUCUUUUAUAAAAAAAAAUACUACAUCAAACUCAAAUUUUCUUUUUAAACCACAAAAUAAGACUUAAUGAACCCCCCGGUUAAAUUUUCAAGCAUUUUUGUUAAGUUUGACAAUUUUAUCAUAAAGUACCUACCAAAUAAAAAUUACAUACAAAAUUAAAAUGUUUAUAAAUACCUCAAAAAUGGCUUAAAUUUUUUGAACAUUUUACCACGUUUAGAAAUGAUAAAUAUGAGUUUUUGUGUAAAUAUCAAGUCUCUACGAAUAUUUUCAACUGAAUUACAACAAAUAACAAAAUUUAUAAAAUAAUAAAAGCAUUAAUUUAGUACAUUUCCCGUUUUUCUUACAUUUUAUUCUUGUUUUUCCCAGAUAUUAUGAAAACCGUUUGGAAAAUCAAAAAAAGACUUCCCAAAAGUACCAUUUGGACAACAUUCCCGCCACGCGUAUAUAUCUGAGCAACAUUUAUGGUCUAGUUUUUUUAUACAGG